UACAGAGGUGGCAAGCGUUGUUCGGAAUUACUGGGCGUAAAGGGCGCGUAGGCGGCCUUCUAAGUCAGACGUGAAAUCCCCCGCUUAACCUGGGAACUGCGUCUGAUACUGGGAGGCUUGAGUAUGGGAGAGGGAUGUAGAAUUCCAGGUGUAGCGGUGAAAUGCGUAGAUAUCAGGAAGAACACCCGUGGCGAAGGCGGCUUUCUGGGACGGUAACUGACGCUGAGACGCGAAAGCGUGGGGAGCGAACAGG
rnacentral:rRNA from 1 species